ACACUGCUGAGGAGUCCCAUACCAGGACGAAACGGCCGUCCAGUGC
rfam:Schistosoma mattheei strain Denwood, Zambia genome assembly, scaffold: SMTD_scaffold0001778